rnacentral:lncRNA from 1 species
UCUCCCAACAGGUCAAAUCUCCUCCAGCCCAGAACAUGAAGUUUGCAGAAAGUCUGAAGCAUGUGGCUGAAAAACUCUGUCAUGAGCUCUGCAACAAAGCUGGAGUACACAGGUGCAACCUAUGUCCAGAAAAAUAGGUGUAUGGGGACAAAUGCUACCAGUUCUAUAAAGAUAGCAAAAGUUGGCCGGGAGCGGUGGCUCAUGCCUGUAAUCCCAGUACUUUGGGAGGCUGAGGCAGGCAGAUCACGAGGUCAAGAGAUCGAGACCAUUCUGGCCAACAUGAUGAAACCCCGUCUGUACUAAAAAUACAAAAAUUAGCUGGGUGUGGUAGCGCAUGCCUGUAGUCCCAGCUACUUGGGAGCCUAAGGCAGGAGAAUUGCUUGAACCUGGGAGGCCGAGGUUGCAGUGAGCAGAGAUCGUGCCACUGCACUCCAGCCUGGCGACAGAGUGACACUCCGUCUCAAAAAAAAAAAAAAAAAAAAGACAGUGAAAGUUGGCAAAAAUGUAAAUAUAUCUGCAUUGCUAAGAACUCUACCAUCCAAAGAUAAACACACAAGAAAUGCUGGAGUUUGCUGUGUCUCAAAGCUACUCUGAGUUUUUCUACUCUUAUCAGACAGGGCUCUUCCACCCGGGCAAUGGCAAGGCCUGGCUAUGGAAGGACGGAACUCCUUACUCUUCUGAACUCUUUGAUAUUAUAAUAGAUGGCACUACCCUAAGAAGCAGAGGCUGUGUGACCAUCCUCCAUGGAAAGGCUUUCUCAAAGAACUGCUGAGAGUUGAGGUGGUAUGUGUGUGAGAGGAGGGUGGCAAUGGUGAAGCCGGAGACCCUCCAUUAGCCUCCCUGAACCAUUAGGUGAAGGUGA